rnacentral:lncRNA from 1 species
AAAUAAACAAAUAAAUAAAUAAAUAAAUAAAGGUACACAAGGAUUGGUUUCAGUAAGGAACAUUCCCUGUAGAUACAGAGAGAGGAAUAAAAAUUUCCAGAGGGCUAUUGACAUCAACAUUAAAAAAAAAAAUCAUGCUAAAAAAAAUCAUGCUAAAGGAUAUUUUUUUUAUUUUUUUAAAGAUUUUAUUUAUUUAUUCAUGAGAGACACAGAGAGAGAGGCUGAGACACAGGCAGAGGGGGAAGCAGGCUCCCUGCUGGAUCUCAGGACCCCCGGAUCACACCCUGAGCCAAAGGCGGAUGCUCAACCACUGAGCCACCCAGGUGCCCCAUGCUAGAGGAUUUUAAGUUGUGUUUUAUCAGUGGAAUGUGAGCAUCGGUUCUCUUAAUUGCAAAAUGUGUCUCUUAAUGUCAACGUGAGUGUUGUUUGUGGGCUCAGUAACGUUCUAUGAGUGUGUAUGCAUGUGUGUAUGUGUGUGAGAUGUGUGUCUAUAUGUGUCUGCACGUCUAUCACGUGUGUAUAUGUGCAUGUGUGUGGUUAUGUGUGCAUGUGUGUAACAUGUGUGUGUCUGUGGGUGACGUGUGUAUGCCACUAAGGUACCUAGUAAGUGUUCAAUAAGAGAGAAUUUAUCCCCUGCCUUUUUUUUUUUUUUAGUUAUUAGAGCAUAUGAAGAAUAAGGCACCCACAUCUCCUUGUUGAGCGUAUUCAUUAUUAAAGAAGAGAGAUUGCUUUCUGGUGUUUCUGUAAGUGAACACUAAUGCAUUAAAAGUCGAAAAUAAAUAAAACAGGCAGACAAAAAGACAGGACAGAACUCAUAGUGGAAAUAUCUCUAUUAAACCUUGUAAAACUGGAGCAUGGCCAUGCAGAAGAAAGGGGGAUGGGGAGGCGUUUGAAGGGUCAGGAAGCAAUUACAUCAGGAGAUGCAAAAUGACUCAGGGUCCAGGAAGCCUCGCAGGACGGACGCAUGAGCGUGCCAGCACGGAGAAAAAUGUGUUUCUUUAUAUAUAUAUAUAUAUAUAUAUAUAUAUAUAUAAACAAUAAAGGUUUUCCGAAAAUCCACUCUAACUCUGUGCUACAAAACGCAUGUGAGCUAGGCACAGACACUGAAGAAGGUCCGGGUGGCACACGGCUUUCUGGAUUUAGUUCCUUCCAUCAGACUUCCUGCAGGCGUCCCAGCUGGUGACCCUGGAACUCCAUCCACUCUGAAUACUGCGGGACUUCCAUCCGGAGGCUUUCUUUCCUGGGUCUUAGUUUCUUCAUCUCUACUGUGUGGGUGCCGAUGUUUAAUGAUGCUGUGCACAUCCUACCCAGCGAUGCCUGCAGAUGCCCCCACUGAGUGUCUGGUGUCCACUGUGCCCUGUCGGUGGACACCUGCUCACGGGGCUCGGCGUGCUCAUCACCCGAUGACAACAAGGUUACACCCGUUAGAUGCCCUGACUGGACCACCUGUUUCACCCAACAACUAAGGGCCCCGUCCCUGAUCCACUUAGCCCUGUGUAUUCUGGCUGCAAUGCCUUGUGUAUUCCAUCAUCUUCUUCAAAAUAAUAAUAAAACUGUGAGGGAAAUAAAAGAAGAAAAGCUGUUUGCCAC